ACAAUUGCUUACCACUUAGUUGUAACUAGAAACGAUGGGUUCUAAGGGUUAAGAAUUCUAAUUCAUGUAUGUAAUUACUAGAAAUAAUAGAAACAACUAACUCCAUGUGCGGCGAAAAUAGAAUGUGUUUUUGGCCGAGGAAAGAACACAACUGGAAGCAUGGUUGUAUUACCAAGGCUUUGACUGUAAUGUCAUAUUUGAAAAUAAUACGCAUAAAACCAAGUAUGACCAGCCAACUUUAAGGAACUAAGGUUGACUUUAUGGAACCAAUAAAGCCCCUUGGAAAGGAAAAAUGGACCCGCAACCUUGCUUAUAGGAUUUUGGACAGCCUUACCAGACUUCAUCCCAUUUUACUACUUGAAGGAAACCACCCUUUCUAGAUGGGAGUCGGUGCUGUAUCUGGGCCUUCAGUACCAAACCACCGAGGCUCCCUCUGUGAGAUAAGUGACCCUCUCCUGACUUACAGAAAACCAAACCAGGAGGAAUGGAUUAAAAAAAAAAAAAAAACCAAGCCCGCUUCUGAGGGACGGUCUGAUAAGAACUUCAAAGUAAUAUCUGUCUUUUAUACCAGUGUUACUUACUUAUUCCUUCCAUUUGUUUUCAUAGCCAUGACUUUGAGAAAAAAGAACUCUUGGUAAGAAGUAGACCCUGUUACGAUAUGGACAUGUAGAUUAACUAUUCCAUCCAAAAACAAGUCAAGCCCACCACGAGCCUUAAUGUGUAUCUGUGUUCCUUCCUUUUUCUGGACUAAAACUGAUCCCUACCUUGGCUUGAGUGAAACUCCCGAGAAAGCUGAAGGGACAGGACCUGUCAUUGACAGACCUGCGCCAAACAGACCCUUUGUCAACACCACGUUCUUCCUUCCGCCAAGAAGCCAAACCUCCAGGAUCGUCUCCUCGCAUUGAUUUCUUGAGACUCUAGCUCCUGCCAACUGAAAAUGCUCCCUCUGCUGUCAGUGAUGACCUCUGUGAGGUCACCAAUGGCCACUGCUCACACCUCAUCCUUCUUGGCAGGAUGGCAGUACUUACUAGCACUGGUCUCUUCCUUUUUUGUCCAACAUGCUUUCCUAGACUUGGAGGACACAGCUCACCUACUGGUUUCCCUCCUGAGUCCCUGCUUGACCGUCUUCCUCUGGCCACCAACUAUACCUCCAGGCUGGGGCAACUGAAAUGAAACUGGUCUUCCCAGGCCCACGCCUGUCCUCCUCCAGUUUGUGAACAAGCCUGCAGUGAUCCUGACAAAGGUGAAUCGGGUCCGGCUGCCGCUCUCCCGUGGGUCUCACCAUGGCGACCGAGCUCCUCCUCUGGGCCCUGCCUGCCUCUCCAGCUUUCUUCUUACCCUGGAUCCUUUCACCUGUGUGUGCCAGCUGCAUCUGUAUUUUUAAAAUUCCUUUUGAAAAUUUCACUCGGCCACGACCAUUACAAGGUUUCCCAGCUUCUCAUUUAUCAAGGAGGACAAAGAACUACCUACCUCCUAGGGUCAUUUGAAUGACGGAGUGAAUAAAUCAGAGUAAAGCACUUAGAACGGCGCAGGCUGGCAGCACGAGCUAUGCGUGUUAACUCAAUAUCACACUUUCACCUGUGUCUGCCUAGAGUCUGUUUUCAACACGGCCCCCAGAAUAAGCCCUUAAAAAAAGAAAAAGCCAAAUCACUUCCUGACUCUGCUUAGCACCGACUGAUAGAUUUUCCUCUCAAAAUCAGACGUCCUCACUCUGGUUACCUACUGCUUCUUUGACCUCAUCUCCACACUGUCUCUCCCAGCCCCCCUUACUAGAUUCAAGCUACAUUUACCUCCUUGCUGGAACUUACACAGGCCAAGCACAUUCCUGUUUCAGUUGUGGUUCCUUCUACAUGGAAAGCACUUUUUCCGUUAUUGAUGUGGCUUACUCUCUCGUACCCUUCAGGUCCUACAAAAACCACCCACCAUCGAGAAUCCUCUAUCAAGGCUCUAUUGACAUUUUGAGCCAGAUCCUUGUCUUGGGGGAUGUUUAGCAGCGUCUCUGGUCUCUAACUGCUGGAUGCCACAGUCCCCCAGUGCCCAACUGUGAUAAUGAACAGCAUUCCCAAACACUGAAGAGUGGCCCCCUGGGAGGCAGAACGGUAUACUCCAAAAUAAAACCACCUCACAGGCUUUUCCUCCUAAUGUAUUGAAGGAAUUUUUCCAUCGCAUGACAUACGGAUUUACCACACUCUUUUGAAUAGCUACAGAUUCAAGUGCAUUUUCCUGUUACUUUACUGGGGGUCAUUAGGUUCGUUCUUUCCCAUUUUUCACUAGUACAAACAA